UCCCUGGUGGCUCAGAUGGUAAAGAAUCUGCCUACAAUACAGGAGACCCAGGUUCAAUUCCUGGGUUGGGAA
rfam:TPA: Bos taurus chromosome 18, whole genome shotgun sequence.